AAUGUGUUUUGUUAUUAAAAAUGUUUCUGUUACUAUUGUUCUCUUGUGUUUCUGUUGCUAAGGAUCAUCCCGUGUAAUUACAUUUUUAAAAAUUACCUCUCGUUGAAGUGUAACUUGUGUUCAACGAGCUAGAGAGAAAGAGGCAGACGUAAUGAAACGAGAUUUAUUUGUCAUAUGUUCCUUCCUGUAUAUUACAAUGUAUACCGCACAGUAUAUAUAGCUUGUGUCAAUUGGUAUCGGAACAACCACGAGGAUAGUCGGGGAUAUUUUCUAGGUAUUUCUUCCUCAUCCCCUGGGAUACUGAUUGUCCUGGAGACGGUGACGAUGACAAAGGUGUAUCUGUUAAACUGGAGGUUUUUAAAAAGAAAUUCUAGAAGCAAUGCCAUAAUGCUGCUUUGGUGAAUUAUUGAAGUGCCGGUUCUCCUCCAUCCAUCUUCGUACAGUGACAAAAGACAUUUAAUUGGAGGGAAUUAAAAUUAAAAAACUAGACAUAUGGUUGAAAUUUGGUACGAGAUUAAGUUAGAAGCUAAAUUUGUGAAUAAUUACGAGGCAAGAUAUGUAUCAAUAAGUCAUGAACGAUGGAACAAAGGAGGUUCCCAGAAUGUUUCAGUUUCCUCAUGACAGGAAUGAUCGAAGAACUUGAUAUGAAAGAAGUGAAACCAAAGACUCCCAGAUAUGGACUACCCUUUUUUAAAUUAAACCCGG